CCGGCGCUUAUGGACGCAGAGUUGAACACACGGCCCAUCGGAUGCAUCAAACCUCACGCACAUGUCAAGUUCUCAACGGAACUCCCCACGUACAUCAACGUUUAAAAACUCUUCGGACAACUCCGAAAACAGCGACUCCAUUCUGUGUCAUGGACUUUUUGAAUCAUUUGAGCGGACACAAUGGUUUUGAGCUUUAUACCUGUGCAUGUUGGACUUUACUGACUUUGCUGACACUUACUGUGCUCUGUGAAAACCAGAAGAAACUGUAUACAGGUUUUUUUUUUAUACAUAAUAUAUGUCUAUCCAAUAAAAAAUAAUUUUUGAUGAAAUGUAUUUAUACAAAGUCAAGUACAUAACUACAAAUGGAAAGCCAGCAUGAU